rnacentral:tRNA from 1 species
CUACUUGGUGGUUGUCACCACAGCAAGACCACCCGUUAGGGGACUGGAGCUCAGAGGGUCCCUGGAGAACAGGACCAACGGUGUCUUUUCAUCAAAGAACGGCAGAACAGCGUCUUUUCACCAAAGAACAAACGACUGGGAGGUGGAGGCAGAUGCUCUGCGUUGGUCUCCUCAGUUACAGACUCGGAAGUUGAGGGCGACUUCGGAGUCACAGAUAUUCGUUGUCACCAAAGUUCCUUGUCUCAGCGACGAGGGGCUGCCUUAGACGUCAGGAUGAGGAGACUUCAAGCUGGGUCAUUCUAUCCUGGUAGAAGGGAAAUCCAGGUAUCGGGUCCUGCAGUGGUCAGCGCUGGCUCCGUCCGACUCCGUGCGAAUCGCCUUGGGUUUGUCCUUUUUGUCGCCGAGGCUCUGGAGAUGCUCAGACCGUAAGUGCCAGACUUACAGACUUGGAAAUUACGGGAGACUUCGGAGUCACAGAUAUUCGUUGUCACCAAGAUUGGGCGACCCGAAAAUAUUCACUUCAGAAUCCCAAGUUCCCAACUCCUUCGCGACUUCACUAAAGAAAGACCGAAUGACUCGAAGGGCAUCCCUGUCGCCUCUUCCGCUUCCCACUGAGGCAGAUAAAAAACGCCACGAAGCCCCGGGAUCCCCAAAACUUCUGGAACAGCUACAGUUUAAGCUGAGAGGAGCUUGGCAUCACUGAGACCCAGGACAGGCGUGGAUGAGCCGAGAGGACUCGUCCUUGAGACGUACUAGGGCGCGCUGGUCCUCCACUCUUUUCAACACGCAGUGACUCCACGGACCGCGAUAGUGUUCGGAGAGACCACCUCCCGCUGGCCCGGAGCAACGCAGAUCUUCUGGGAACAAAUACCCUGCCUCUCCUGAGCCACUAGUCUAGAAUCCCCGCCACUACCUAGCAGUCCAGUAGAGAGACUUGAUCUGGAGGCGGCCUGCCACCCUCCGCGUUAUCUGACUGUUUUUGGAGAAUGUAUUCUGAAAUUGAUUAAAAUUGGCAAGACUUCAAAUAGUCACUUGUGGGUAAGAGGGAGAAGUGGGUUGCAGAACUUCGUCGCGGCCAGAGGACCGCUAGCAGUUUGUGCGUCGACCCAGACCGAGUUGAGGAAUGAGUGAGUGCAAGGAGACAUCUGUUGCUCUCGUACGGAAUUUUUUUUCUGCUGCUAAAACUUUCUGCUUCGAAUAAGGUGGUUUUUAAGUUUUUACAUCUUUAAAAAAAUCUUAAAAUUUCGAAAAACAAGACGAAACUCUUAGUUGUCAACUUUAUCAUCAAAUAUCUGUAGAGGUCGUAGGAGCAAGUUUCACAGGUGGCCGGUUAGCUCAGUUGGUUAGAGCGUGGUGCUAAUAACGCCAAGGUCGCGGGUUCGAUCCCCGUACGGGCCACACAUGUUUUAGCUACUCUG